rnacentral:lncRNA from 1 species
CUAGCGCAUGCGCUUUAGCGAGGCAGUCUCGGGCGCCCAGCUGUCAGAGCUGUUAGCCUGCUUAAACAGAGGAAAAUGGUACAGGCAGAGCUGGUCUGGUAUCAGGAAAAAGGCUGCCUACGAUAAUCCACUGCAGGACCCUAAAAGUCUCGACCUUAGGGCCCCCUCGGACCGUCUCCAAGGUCGGGUCCCGCUGGAGAAGGAGGCAUUUCGAGAGUGUUGGAAACACCUUAUUUGUAGAAUCUACGAAGGGACAUUUUGGAACCCAUUGAGACCUAUAGUGAAACACUGAUUGUUUCACAAUGAAAACUGAAAACGUUAUCUAGGAAAAUGCUUUGCGUGUGUAGAUUCUACUCAGACAGGAAAUUGGAAACUCUCCUUUGGUACAAUCGACAAAGAGAUAUUUCAAAGCCCAUUGAGGCUUACUGUGAAAAAUAGAAUAUCCAGUGAUAAAAACUAUAAAAAAGGUUUGAAAUACUCUAAGACAUUUUGGAGCUCUUGGGGCCUAUAAUGAAGAAACGUAUAUCCUGCGAUGAAAACUUGAAACAAGCUACCUGUGAAAAUGCUUUGCAAUGUGUAGAUUCAUCUGACAGUUAAACCUUUGUUUUGAUUCAACAGGUUAGAAACACUGUUUUCAUAUAAUCUACGAAGGGACACUUCGGUGCCCAUUGAGGAUUAUAGUACAAAACCAAAUAUUAUGCAAUUAAAACUACAAACAAGCUAUUGGGGAAAAUGCUUUGCAAUGUGAAGAUUUGUCUCACAGAGGGGUUUGGGAACAUACUUUUUAUAUAACUUAUGAAUGGACAUUUCAGAGCCCAUUGAAGCCUAUACUGAAAAUCCAAAUAUCCUGCGAUAAAAACUAGGAGUAAGCUAUCUGUGAAAAUGCUUUGCGAGGUUUGGAUUAAUCUCACAGAUUUAAGCUGUUGCUUUGAUUUAGCAGCAGGUUGGAAACCCUCUUUUUCUACAAUCUACUAGGGUACUAUUCGGACCAAAUUGAGGCCUAUACUGAAAAACUGAUUAUCCCGUGAUAAAAACUAGAAAAAAGCUGUCAGUAAAAAUGCUGUGCAAUAUGUGGAUUCAUGUCACAAAUUUAAACCUCUGCAUUUAUUCAGCAAGUUUGGAAUACCUUUUUGUAGAAUAUACAAAGGGAUGUUUCACACCUAUAAAAGCCUAUAGUAAAAAAGUUGGAUACACUCUUGUUGUAGAAUCUACAAAGAGACAUUUUGAAGUUCAUUGAGGUCUAUAGUGAAAAACCAAAUAUCCAGUGAUAGAAACUAUAAAGAAGCUAUCUCUGAAAAUACUUUAUGAUGUGUGAUUUCAUUUCACAAGUUGAACUUUUCUUUUGAUUCAACAGGUUGGAAACACUCUUUUGUAAAAUCUACAAAGAAACAUUUUGGAGUCCAUUGAGG